UGGGGAAUUUUGGACAAUGGGGGAAACCCUGAUCCAGCCAUCCCGCGUGUGCGAUGAAGGCCUUCGGGUUGUAAAGCACUUUUGGCAGGAAAGAAACGUCAUGGGUUAAUACCCCGUGAAACUGACGGUACCUGCAGAAUAAGCACCGGCUAACUACGUGCCAGCAGCCGCGGUAAUACGUAGGGUGCAAGCGUUAAUCGGAAUUACUGGGCGUAAAGCGUGCGCAGGCGGUUCGGAAAGAAAGAUGUGAAAUCCCAGAGCUCAACUUUGGAACUGCAUUUUUAACUACCGAGCUAGAGUGUGUCAGAGGGAGGUGGAAUUCCGCGUGUAGCAGUGAAAUGCGUAGGUAUGCGGAGGAACACCGAUGGCGAAGGCAGCCUCCUGGGAUAACACUGACGCUCAUGCACGAAAGCGUGGGGAGCAAACAGG
rnacentral:rRNA from 1 species